rnacentral:lncRNA from 1 species
GUCUUUCCUGUGCUGUUCUCAUGACAGUGAAUGUGUCUCAUGAGAUCUGAUGGUUUUAAAAGUGGGAGUUUCUCUGCACGAGCUCUCUUUUUUGCCUGCCGCUAUCCAUGUAAGAUGUGACUUGCUCCUCCUUGCCUUCCACCAUGAUUGUGAGGCCUCCCCAGCCACAUGGAACUGCUCAUAGGAAGAAGGGAUUUGCCUUGUCUCAGAUGAGAUUUUGGACUGUGGACUUUUGAGUUAAUGCCGAACCAUGUAAGAUGUGCCUGCUUCCCCUUCUCCUUCUGCCAUGAUUAUAAGUUUCCUGAGACCUCCCCAGCUCUGCUUCCUGCACAGCCUGUGGAACUAUACCGUGCUGCUUUGGACAACUCAACCUGCCCUGGACAGUGUGGGGGCCCAGACUCUAGUUGAUUCAUUUUUGCCUUUGCCAUGGCACCAAGCACAGAACCUUUCACAAAAUAGGUUGCUGAGCAAGGAAAGAAAUCCGUCUCCCUCCAUCGGUGGAUGAUGGGUUGAUAGAAGAUGAACUGGACUGUACUGUCAGCGGAGCCCGAGUUACGAAUCUGCAGGAGUCAACAGGAAAGUAGAAGUAAUGUGACAGUGCGGUGCUUUCUGGUCCCUUGCAGCUUCGAACAAGAGUAUAUGGUAGUGCUGAUGGUUUUAGGCUGUGUGAGGGACUGCACUGCGGGAGAAGUGGCAAUGGCAGUAUCAUGUAUCCUACCAUUUUACCAGUGAAUGGUCCUUGCAUAAGCUUUCACUAUCAUUAUCUUCUGAGUUCUGUUGCCACAGAGCAAGGGAGAACAAUAUCUCAAUUUGUGAUUUCACUAUCAUCUUAUUCCAAGCCUGUAUUCCCUUUCCGUCCUUUAUUUCCAACCUCUUUGGUAUAAUAGAUAAAAUUAUGUGGAUUUUAAAAUGUAGAUUCAGAAAUAGACAAUUUGUUCUAAGAAAAUUAUAUACUGCAGAAAAUAAAAGAUACUGGUUUUGGUUAAGAAAAAAGACGAGUUGAAGAAUUAAAUAACACUUCCCAUUCAGAGACACAUAUUGGGCUUCUUGUCCAUUUAGUGUGCGAAGUUACCAACUAGAUGCUUGCUAAAAGGCAAACUUCUGGGCCCAUGCCCAGCGAACUAGGUAAUUCAAAUGUUGAUGGUUUAAGAAUCAAACUGAAAACACAAAUUUAUGUCAUAAAAACGAUUACUUACUUAAAAACAAUUUAUUUGCUUUUAAAUAAAACUGGUACUUAAUGGA